rnacentral:rRNA from 1 species
AACGAACGUUAGCGGCGCGCCUAACACAUGUAAGUCGAGCGAGAAAGGGCUUCGGCCCCGGUAAAGCGGCGCACGGGUGAGUAACACGUGGAUAACCUACCCCUUGGUGGUGGAUAACCUUCCGAAAGGAGGGCUAAUACAGCGUAAGACCACGACUUCGAAAGAGGUUGAGGUAAAAGUGGGCCUCUGUACACAAGCUCACGCCAGGGGGAUGGGUCCGCGGCCCAUCAGCUAGUUGGUAGGGUAACGGCCUACCAAGGCGAAGACGGGUAGCUGGUCUGAGAGGAUGAUCAGCCACACUGGAACUGAGACACGGUCCAGACUCCUACGGGAGGCAGCAGUGGGGAAUCUUGCGCAAUGGACGAAAGUCUGACGCAGCGACGCCGCGUGAGUGA